rnacentral:rRNA from 1 species
UAUCUCUGUAGAGUCUGCAUAUCAAUAAGCGGAGGAAAAGAAACUAACAAGGAUUCCCUUAGUAACGGCGAGUGAAGCGGGAAGAGCUCAAAUUUGAAAUCUUCAAGGUUCUACCUUGACGAAUUGUAGUUUAUAGAAGUGUUUUCUGUUAGUAGAGUGGUAAAAGUUCUUUGGAAUAGGACAUCAUAGAGGGUGAGAAUCCCGUAGUUUGGUCAUUCCUCCUAGCUUUGUGAUACACUUUCAACGAGUCGGAUUGUUUGGGAAUGCAGUCCAAAAUGGGUGGUAAAUUUCAUCUAAAGCUAAAUAUUGGCGAGAGACCGAUAGCGAACAAGUACCGUGAGGGAAAGAUGAAAAGAACUUUGAAAAGAGAGUUAAACAGUACGUGAAAUUGUCAAAAGGGAAGCGUUUGACACCAGUGUUGUUUUUCCGAAAAUCAAUUACGAAUGUUUUGUUUUUGAGAAGUUAUGACUUCAUCGGCUUGCUUCUCUCUUUACGAAACUUUCUUAAUGCACUUUUCGGUUAACAAGUCAACAUCAAUUUCUUUUGUUGUAAAAGGGUAUGAGGAAGGUGGCUUUCUUUUCGGAGAAAGUGUUUAUAGCCUUGUACCUCUGCAAUCGGAGAGAUUGAGGUCUGCAGCGUAGAUCCUUCGGGGUUAGAUACAUUUGUGCUAAGUUAUAGCUUUUCAUAGACAACUUGUUGACUAUGUUAAGUCUUGUAGCUUACUCGCUUAUGCUAUUUUACCUACGCUUAGGAUGUUGAUAUGCAUGACUGAUAU